CACCGCGGUUAUACGAGAGGCCCAAAUUGAAAGACACCGGCGUAAAGCGUGGUUAAAUUAAAAUUAAACUAAAAUUAAAUAUCUUUAGGACUGUUAUACGUAUCCAAAGACAAGAACUUCAAUCACGAAAGUAACUUUAUAUAAACUGAAUCCACAAAAGCUAUAACC
rnacentral:rRNA from 1 species